GACGAACGCUGGCGGCGUGCUUAACACAUGCAAGUCGAACGGAAAGGCUCCAGCUUGCUGGAGUACUCGAGUGGCGAACGGGUGAGUAACACGUGGGUAAUCUGCCUUGCACUCUGGGAUAAGCCUGGGAAACUGGGUCUAAUACUUGCUAUGACCUUUCUCCUUAUGGGGUUCUGUGGAAAGUUUUUCGGUGUAGGAUGAGCCGGCGGCCUAUCAGCUUGUUGGUGGGGUGAUGGCCUACCAAGGCGACGACGGGUAGCCGGCCUGAGAGGGUGAUCGGCCACAUUGGGACUGAGAUACGGCCCAGACUCCUACGGGAGGCAGCAGUGGGGAAUAUUGCACAAUGGGCCGAAGCCUGAUGCAGCGACGCCGCGUGAGGGAUGACGGCCUUCGGGUUGUAAACCUCUUUCAGCAAGGACGAAGCGUAAGUGACGUUACCUGCAGAAGAAGCACCGGCUAACUAUGUG
rnacentral:rRNA from 1 species